rnacentral:rRNA from 1 species
CCUACGGGUGGCUGCAGUCGAGAAUCAUUCACAAUGGGGGAAACCCUGAUGGUGCGACGUCGCGUGGGGGAAUGAUGGCCUUUGGAUUGUAAACCUCUUUUAUGUGGGAGCAAAUUAAAAAGUGAGUACCACAAGAGGAAGAGACUGCUAACACUGUGCCAGCAGCCGCGGUAAUACAGAGGACUCAAGCGUUGUUCGGAAUCACUGGGCGUAAAGCGUGCGUAGGCUGUUUCGUAAGUCGUGUGUGAAAGGUGCGGGCUCAACCCGCGGACGGCACAUGAUACUGCGAGACUAGAGUAAUGGAGGGGGAGCCGGAAUUCUCGGUGUAGCAGUGAAAUGCGUAGAUAUCGAGAGGAACACUCGUGGCGAAGGCAGGUUCCUGGACAUUAACUGACGCUGAGGCACGAAGGCCAGGGGAGCGAAAGGGAUUAGAUACCCCUGUAGUC